CGCGUAGGUGGUUUGUUAAGUUGGAUGUGAAGGCCCCGGGCUCAACCUGGGAACUGCAUCCAAAACUGGCAAGCUAGAGUACGGUAGAGGGUGGUGGAAUUUCCUGUGUAGCGGUGAAAUGCGUAGAUAUAGGAAGGAACACCAGUGGCGAAGGCGACCACCUGGACUGAUACUGACACUGAGGUGCGAAAGCGUGGGGAGCAAACA
rnacentral:rRNA from 1 species